rnacentral:rRNA from 1 species
CAGUCGCCGCGGUAAUACGGAGGGUGCAAGCGUUAAUCGGAAUUACUGGGCGUAAAGCGCACGCAGGCGGUCUGUCAAGUCAGAUGUGAAAUCCCCGGGCUUAACCUGGGAACUGCAUUUGAAACUGGCAGGCUAGAGUCUUGUAGAGGGGGGUAGAAUUCCAGGUGUAGCGGUGAAAUGCGUAGAGAUCGGAAGGAACAUCUGUGGCGAAGGCGACUAUCUGGGCCAACACUGACACUGAGGCGCGAGAGCGUGGGGAGCAAACAGGAUUAGAUACCCCUGUAGUCCCUGUCUCUUAUAC